rnacentral:misc_RNA from 1 species
AACUUGUGACAACGUAUCACGUGGCUCUCGCAUCGAUUAAGAACGCAGCGAAAUGCGAUAAGUAAUGUGAAUUGCAGAAUUCAGUGAAUCAUCGAAUCUUUGAACGCACCUUGCGCUCCUUGGUAUUCCGAGGAGCAUGCCUGUUUGAGUGUCAUUAAAUUCUCAACCUUCCAGCUUUUAUUAGCUUGGUUAGGCUUGGAUGUGGGGGUUGUGGGCUACAUUAAUGAGGUCAGCUCUCCUUAAAUGCAUUAGCGGAACUUUUGUGGACCGUCUAUUGGUGUGAUAAUUAUCUACGCCGUGGAUGUGAAGCAGCUUUAUGAAGUUCAGCUUCUAAUCGUCCAUUGACUUGGACAAUUUUUGACAAUUUGACCUCAAAUCAGGUAGGACUACCCGCUGAACUUAAGCAUAUCAAUAAGCGGAGGCU